UACGUAGGGGGCUAGCGUUGUCCGGAAUCAUUGGGCGUAAAGCGCGCGUAGGCGGCCCGGUAAGUCCGUUGUAAAAGUCAAAGGCUCAACCUUUGAAAGCCGAUGGAUACUGCCGGGCUAGAGUCCGGAAGAGGCGAGUGGAAUUCCUGGUGUAGCGGUGGAAUGCGCAGAUAUCAGGAGGAACACCGAUAGCGAAGGCAGCUCGCUGGGACGGUACUGACGCUGAGGCGCGAAAGCGUGGGGAGCGAACGGG
rnacentral:rRNA from 1 species